AUUCCAGCUCCAAUAGCGUAUAUUUUAGUUGUUGCAGUUAAAAAGCUCGUAGUAGAAUUUCUGGUGGGGGAAUGCAGUUCAAGCUAUGCUUGAUACUCGCACUCUCCGGCCAUCUUUGAGUGGAGCCUGUCUGGCAUUAAGUUGUCGGGCUGGGGAUGCUCAUCGUUUACUGUGAAAAAAUUAGAGUGUUCAAAGCAGACUUAUGUCGUUGAAUAUAUUAGCAUGGGAUAAUAAGAUAAGACUUCGGUACUAUUUUGUUGGUUAGGUGCCGUUGUAAUGAUGAACAGGGACAGUUGUGGGUAUUCGUAUUCACUUGUAAGAGGUGAAAUUCUUAGAUUAAGGGAAGACGAACUACUGCGAAAGCAUUUACCAAGGAUGUUUUCAUUA
rnacentral:rRNA from 1 species